CAAUGGCCAAGUGCCCCUGGGUUCAAUGCCUGGUACCCUCAAAAAUAAAAUAAGAUAAAAUAAAAAGGGCUGUGCAUGUAGCUCAGUGAUAGCGUCCCUGUGUUCAUUCCCCAAUUCCAAAAAGAUAAAAUAUCUUCUUUUAUUUUUUUUUCUUUGCACCACUUAUGAUCAGUAGAAAUGCAUUUCUAAGCAAGUUUUUAUGGGAUCUAAAACAAUUAGACUCACAAACACACACACACACACACACACUCACACACAAAAACAAACACACAGACAAGCACACACCAUAUCCCCUGGAGAAAACUAACUUGACACUUAUCCUUGUUCUAAAGAGUAAACACUUGUUUUAAACAGUUCAGAGUGUUAUUUUAAAAUAGCAUAGACUGAGUGGCUUAGACAAGAUUUUCAUUGCUCACAGUUCUGGAGGCUGGUGACUCCAAGUUCAGGGUGCUACAAAACUGGCUCUUAGUGAGGGCUCUCAUCCUGGACAGCAGAUGCUGCUUUCUCCUGCAUGCUCUUAUGGCAGGGAGAGGAAGCGUAGGGUCUCUUCCCCUUUUAUGAGGACACUAGACCCUUCAAGGGACAUGCAUGCUGAAUCUCCUGAAACUGAUUACUCCCCACAUGCCCCACUUCCUAAGACCAUCACAACGGGAGCUACAGUUUCAACAUGUGAGUUUGAGCAGGAGAGACCGCAACAUACCUCACAUGACAUGAAAGGUGGGAAAAUGUUACUUGGCACUUAGCACCCUGAGGUGACCAGAUCAUCCCCAAAAGACUGAAUUUUGCUCUACUCCUGUCUGAAGAUAUGCCGUGACCUUUGUACACAAAAUGAUCCCUUAACCUCUUUGUUGCUUCUUCUCACACAGAAUAAGUCAUGCUUAGUAUUCCUGCUGAUGGCAGCUUUUCCUCUUAAAUACAAGCUCGCAAUGCCCAGUUUGCAAGUAAAAUGUUUAUUUUUCUUUUUUUUUCCUAAGUGCUUCUAACUCUGUGCUCUCAUCUGAUGAUGCAGUGUUUUGGCACAGCCUUACCUGGGCAAGUGGGAUAGAAUAUCGGCUCCUUCAUGGCUGGUCAAUUUCCAUAUGGAAGUUUGUAAGAGUAUGUUGUUCCUGAAGAGGUGAAAUUGCAUUCCUGGGAGCAAUGGCAGGAGCACAUCCGCCCUCCCUCUCCUCUCUCUCCCUCUCCUUCUCUAUCUCUCUAUCUCUCUAUCUCUAUCUCUAUCUCUUACUGUCUCUGUCUCCAGGGUAAGUAAAGAAGCCUAGCAGACCCUUUACCCCAAACAUUUGACUUCCAUGAGUUCAACAUGAAAGGGGAAGUCGGGGACUAGAAAGAGAACCGUUAUCUCUAACACAGUGCCGCGUUCACCUCUGGGCUCACUUCUUUGUAAUUGUCCCCUCCAUGGUCCCCAAGCUCCAUGGGGUAGCCACCGACUCCACUUCACCCUCACUAAUACCCAGGACCCACAUCAGUGCCCGGCACUUGAUAAUUAUGCGCUGACGCAAACCCUGAGGUUUUAUUGAGAUUAGUAGUACCGGUGACUCACAUCAGUACGUUCAAGAUAGAAAAGGUCAUCUUUAUUUUCUACCUCUGAUACUAUUUCUGAGGAGAGAAUUGGCAACUUCCAAGAAGAGUUUUUAAAUGCUUCAUGAUUAAACCAACGCUCCACAUUAAAACUUCUCCCAACAAAACAGACCCAAACAUGGACCCAAAGGCAUGAAGAUGCUUCCAGGAUGGUUUAACGGUUUUUCUAUAAAAAAAAACUAAUACCGUGAGUUAAAGUUCAAGGCAAUGGUGGGGUAUGCAUAUGACCAGCUCUUACAUUCCCAUUAAAAUUGUUCCACUUAAGAGGCUUAAUGAAGUAAGUGCUGAUAGCGUAAUGCUGACCGAGGAAACAAAGUGGCACAUAGGGUGUCAGCAAUGAGGUCAUCGCUCCAAAAAGAAACCAACCCUCCACGCUCAGCAGCCUUUUAGAGAGACUUAGGAGAUUGAUAUUUUCUUUAUACUUUUCUCUAUUGUUCAAAUUUUCUUGUUUAUUUUUUUUAAGUCAUAAAAUUGUUAUUGACAUUUUAAACUCCCAUUUGAGAGGGUACAGAGCAAGGGACACAAACGUCCCGGUAAUUGCAGAACCAUUAAUUGUCAGAACCAGAAUUAGCAUGGGGAUAUGGCCACACAACCUGGAUGAUGAUGAGAAAAUGAUGCCAUCCAAGCUGCUGCUUAUAAUGUCCCUCCCUCCCCCCUCCCUUCCUUCUUUCCCUCUCUCUUUUUUCUUUAGCCUUACCUCUUCUUUAAAUGAACUUUUUUGAGGUUUGAUUCACCACUCCAGCCUUUUUGAGAUCUUGUGAAGAAUUCUAAUUCCUCACUCCAAAAAUAUCAGUGUCUCUCCAUGGUCAUCUGCAAAUACAAUGAACCUGUGUCUCAAAGCUCACUGUGCACAUGGGACCAUUGCCCCAGGAAGCCAACAUUCCUUACACGUACUUCUCUAGAGAGUCAACCAGAGUUUCUUUAGAACAUCGACAAGUCUUCAAGUAUGUUUCAAAAAAAAAAAAUUCUGUGUAGAAUAUGUCUGAAAUGCUUGAAAACCUCAGUGAAUUCCAUUUGUUUAAACCAGUGCAUUGUUUACAGAAGGGAUGUGAUCCUGAAUUCUUAACAAACUUCCUCCAACUUCAUCCCCCACACACAUAUACGCUCCUGUCUCUGAAUGGAGACAUGGAUAUCAUCCUUCUUGACCAUGAACGCUACAUGUUUCCCUUUAUGCCUUAGCUGCUAGGAAGCCCAACACUAAGCUUGAUAGUUAAUUAAUGAAUAAUCCUCAGCCUCAAUUUAAAAAUUAAAUAGAUGUCACCAUUUGGAUUUCAUUUGUCCCUUUUAUUCUAUGCAGUUGAUUUGGCUCUUAGGGUUUUAUUAUAAGAUAUUGUACUUCUUCUUGCCUUUUUGGUCUUCAUCCAAGGCAUUGAUGAGUGAGUGAGAACGCUCCCCACUCCCCAGUCUCAAGCGUGCUCCUCCUCUGAGUUCUUCUCAGUGGGAUAAAGUGCCAACGCUGAGAGCUUCUGAUGCAGCCAGCGGUCUCUUCCCUGGGCACCUAGGCUGCCUCUGCUGCUGUGCAAUCGCUUGCUACUUCAAGAUUGGGUGGGUCAACUCCAGGUCUCUUCUUACCCAGCAAAUGGCAGGCCUCAGGAAGGUGACAUCCUCGGAUAGGUCACUUUUGUGGUUCCGGAAUUACCUCCAAAGACUUGGUCAACACCUGUGCAGGGAUCCCUUCCCAACCCAGAAAGUGCUGAGGUGUCUAACUUAGAGACUGAUUAUCUUACAGGAUAUUUGCUGGGUGUCCUAACCCCUGCAAGAGAUGGUACACACCCCUGUCUCACUACCCACAGGCAAUCUAGAAAACUGGUCACCUUUCCAGGGAGAGACAGAGCUGUCCUCGUCCUCAGCAGGGGGAACUUCCGUCUGCUACUGUCUUCUCUGUUGGCCUUCCUGUGAGUGUCUCCAGAAGGUUGUCUUCACUGGGUUAAGACAGUAAGUAUUAAAGAAAGAAAACUUCCACAUGAUCCAACACCUUCCUAAAAUUGUUCCACUUCAGAACCUCCCUCCAAGGUAGUGCACCUGCACGUCUUCAAGAACACAGUGGAACCGUCGCCUGUUCAACUCUUAACCGUGGAAUUCAUUUUUCAUGACAUCCAAACCAAGUAAGUCUUUGAAAAUCAGCCAUUAUUUUAGGAAAUGCUGGUAUCUGCUGUUGUAGAAGAGAUGACACCAUCUCACGUGACCAGCCUUUGAGAACUCUGCAAUCUUUGUGUCAUUGGAACCUGGCACACUGGUUAUCUUAGCUUGUAGCCAUCUAAAGAAUGUAAAUAAAUUUUAGGAAAAGCAAGAAACAGAUUUGGUUUCUAGGGAGAAAUAUUAUCAAAAGGAGAUCCAGAUUAUCAGAGAUCAAAUGCUGCAGUUGACAUAAUACCUGAUGUCAACUGCAUCACAGUCUCACUUCAUGAUCCUUUAAACAAACCCCACAAGCAGCCACUUUUAGCAAUGAAGGACUGAGUUUACACAGCCAGAAAACACAACCACAGCAGAAAAAGAGGAGCGACAGAAUUUGCAACAACUCCUUGGCUUUUAUCCCUUGGCUUCUAGACUUUUGUACAAUCCAUCCAUUUUUCUUUUUGGUGGAAAAGUAGCUACUUGAUCUACACUCUCCAGAAACAGCCAUCGUGUUCUGAGCAGCAAGAAUCUUGCGAUUUCCUCUUUUUCUAAGAGCAUCCUUAAGCUCUCUAUUCCACAUGCUGUAGAUCAAGGGGUUCAGCCUGGGGUGAUGAAUGUGUAAACCAGACACUACAGACCCCUCUCAGGAGAGUAGCUGGAACCGGGACAAAAGCUGAGACGACUUGUACAUCCAAACUGGAGGAGGAGCAGAGUCAGGCAGGAGGAACGGGUGGAGGCCUUGUGUCUCCCUCUGUAGAGUGGAUCUUCAGGAGGGCAGCCACGAUGAAGACAUAGGACCAAGUGACGAGCAGGAAGAGAUGGUGACAUUGGUGACACUGAUCAUAUAAUUUGCUUGAUAACUUAAUGCUUACAAAGUUCCAUUUAUAUUUCAUGUUAAUUUUAUAAUACUGUAAUGAAUACAUUGGGCAGUGAUUGAUAAUUGAUAUUAAUAAUUAAUAAUUCUUCAGAUGACGAAACCACAAUUCACAGAAGUAAAUCAGUUUGUCCAUGUUUGCACAGCUGGUGGGUAGCUAAUCUGGAAUUUGAAACCAAGCCUUUGGCUUUAUAUUUCAUCCUUCUCCACCAAUAUGGAUGACCAGCAAGAAGAGACCUUGGGUGUCCGCCAGGGCCUACCUAAUGCUGAGUUACAGCCUGCCUGAUGCCUUUUGUUUAAACAGUUUUGAUAAAUAUCUACCUCCUAUAAACUAGUUAGCCAGUAUGUUAUUUCCUUCACAUAGCUAAUGACACUGAGAGUCAUUCCAUCAGGCUCAAAUGAUAAUUUUAUUUAUGAGUAAAUUGAAUCAGUACAUAAUGACAUUAUUUUGCAUUGUUCAAGUAUAAUUCUAUUAUGAUUCCAUUAUGAGUUGGAGCAUGCUAAUGGAUGUGUAAUGGAAUAAUAAAAACCAAUCCUGUCCAAAUCUUUUACAGUAAGUGUAAAAUAACAUGACUAAUUAUUUUUACAAAAUAUUUGUAUUCCAAUUCUCAGAUGGAAACUAUAAUCAGGAACUUUCUCUACUUUGAUUCCUAUGAAAUGCCUCUUGGGUAAAAUAAUGUUUGUUGAGCAAUUCUGAAAAACAUGCUGUCUAAUUAGGUGCUCAUGGUUUAGAUGUAUUACUUAAUAUCUCUUUAGAAUAUCAAAGAAUGUUAUCCUUUUGUUGAUUGUGAUGGGCCAUGAGAACUGCUUGAAGUGGCUCGCAUAUCAAUGUCACACCAUCAGCCUAGAUUGAAUUCGCCCCCCAAAAAUUCCUCUCAUAUUUACUGUGCUUUGUGGUGAUUAAGGUCACAGGCUCUAGGGUGCCAUGUCUGCACCAGCACUUCAGUAGAUAGGUAAUGUCGCAAAAUUAUUUAACCACUCUGAGCUUCAAUUCUUUGUGUCUAAAUUGAUGAUAACGAUGGCACCAACCCCAUAAGAUUUUGUGGUUAGCAAGUGAGAUACCAUAUACUAAGCUGCUAAAACAAUGUCUGGUACAUAAUUUAAUGCUUAACUAAUGAUAUCUAGUAUCAUUAUAAUUGUCAGUGUGUCAAUACAUAUGCUGUAUCCUCUUUUGAAAAUUAUAGGAAAAAAUCCUUUUAAAUAUAAGCCCUAGCCAAGAAAAAUGUUAGAUUUCUCCAUGUGGUUGUGUAUGGUUACAUGAACUCUGUACUAUGCAAAUUUAAUUAUAUUGCCCUUGACUACUAGGAAGCUCAGACACCAGCAGACAGGUGAUUUCUACAAAACUGCAGAGAAGCUUUUUUUAAUCAUUAUUUUUAGUUGUAGAUGGGCAUAAUACCUUUUUUUAUUUAUUUUUAGUUGGUGCUGAGGAUUGAACCCACUGCCUCACAUAUAGGAAGCAAGCGCUAUACUACUGAGCUACAACCCCAUCCUGAGAAGCAUUUUUUGCAUAGCAAUCUUAUUAUUGUAUCUUUAUAGUCCUGUCUGAAUUUUUUUAUUUACCCCAAUCUUCUUGACUCUGUGUUUUUAACUUUUGUACUAGAUGUAUUUUUAAGUUGCUUCAAAUCUUCUGUGUAAGGAUAUGGGGUUAGAGUAAAUUAAAACAAAUAAUUUAUUAACUUCAUCAAAUACCAUUGCUACCAAUAAAAUCUUUACUGCAUAGUAACACUAAUGAAAAUA